UACAGAGGUCUCAAGCGUUGUUCGGAUUCAUUGGGCGUAAAGGGUGCGUAGGCGGCGCGGUAAGUCGGGUGUGAAAUCUCGGAGCUUAACUCCGAAACUGCAUUCGAUACUGCCGUGCUUGAGGACUGGAGAGGAGACUGGAAUUUACGGUGUAGCGGUGAAAUGCGUAGAUAAUCGGAAGGAACACCUGUGGCGAAAAGCGGCUCACUGGACCACAACUGACGCUGAUGCACGAAAGCGUGGGUAGCAAACAGG
rnacentral:rRNA from 1 species